rnacentral:rRNA from 1 species
CCUACGGGAGGCAGCAGUGGGGAAUCUUGCGCAAUGGGCGAAAGCCUGACGCAGCCAUGCCGCGUGAAUGAUGAAGGUCUUAGGAUUGUAAAAUUCUUUCACCGAGGACGAUAAUGACGGUACUCGGAGAAGAAGCCCCGGCUAACUUCGCGCCAGCAGCCGCGGUAAUACGAAGGGGGCUAGCGUUGCUCGGAAUUACUGGGCGUAAAGGGAGCGUAGGCGGAUAGUUUAGUCAGAGGUGAAAGCCCAGGGCUCAACCUUGGAAUUGCCUUUGAUACUGGCUAUCUUGAGUACGGAAGAGGUAUGUGGAACUCCGAGUGUAGAGGUGAAAUUCGUAGAUAUUCGGAAGAACACCAGUGGCGAAGGCGACAUACUGGUCCGUUACUGACGCUGAGGCUCGAAAGCGUGGGGAGCAAACAGGAUUAGAUACCCUGGUAGUCCACGCUGUAAACGAUGAGUGNUAGUGUCGGUCGAUGCAUGCAUGUCGGUGACGCGAGCUACGACAUAAGACACUCCGCCGUCGGGUAGGUACGGUCGCGAGAUAAACUACGAAGAAGUAGAGNGNGAGAGNGCGAGCGACGACGAGGGAGGAGG